rnacentral:rRNA from 1 species
GACGAACGCUGGCGGCGUGCUUAACACAUGCAAGUCGAACGGUAAGGCCCUUCGGGGUACACGAGUGGCGAACGGGUGAGUAACACGUGGGUGAUCUGCCCUGCACUUCGGGAUAAGCCUGGGAAACUGGGUCUAAUACCGGGUAGGACCACUGCCUGCAUGGGUGGUGGUGGAAAGCUUUUGCGGUGUGGGAUGGGCCCGCGGCCUAUCAGCUUGUUGGUGGGGUGAUGGACUACCAAGGCGACGACGGGUAGCCGGCCUGAGAGGGUGACCGGCCACACUGGGACUGAGAUACGGCCCAGACUCCUACGGGAGGCAGCAGUGGGGAAUAUUGCACAAUGGGCGCAAGCCUGAUACAGCGACGCCGCGUGAGGGAUGACGGCCUUCGGGUUGUAAACCUCUUUCAGCACCGACGAAGCGCAAGUGACGGUAGGUGCAGAAGAAGGACCGGCCAACUACGUGCCAGCAGCCGCAGUAA